rnacentral:rRNA from 1 species
UGAACGCUGGCGGCAGGCCUAACACAUGCAAGUCGAACGGUAACAGGAAGCAGCUUGCUGCUUUGCUGACGAGUGGCGGACGGGUGAGUAAUGUCUGGGAAACUGCCUGAUGGAGGGGGAUAACUACUGGAAACGGUAGCUAAUACCGCAUAACGUCGCAAGACCAAAGAGGGGGACCUUCGGGCCUCUUGCCAUCGGAUGUGCCCAGAUGGGAUUAGCUAGUAGGUGGGGUAACGGCUCACCUAGGCGACGAUCCCUAGCUGGUCUGAGAGGAUGACCAGCCACACUGGAACUGAGACACGGUCCAGACUCCUACGGGAGGCAGCAGUGGGGAAUAUUGCACAAUGGGCGCAAGCCUGAUGCAGCCAUGCCGCGUGUAUGAAGAAGGCCUUCGGGUUGUAAAGUACUUUCAGCGGGGAGGAAGGGAGUAAAGUUAAUACCUUUGCUCAUUGACGUUACCCGCAGAAGAAGCACCGGCUAACUCCGUGCCAGCAGCCGCGGUAAUACGGAGGGUGCAAGCGUUAAUCGGAAUUACUGGGCGUAAAGCGCACGCAGGCGGUUUGUUAAGUCAGAUGUGAAAUCCCCGGGCUCAACCUGGGAACUGCAUCUGAUACUGGCAAGCUUGAGUCUCGUAGAGGGGGGUAGAAUUCCAGGUGUAGCGGUGAAAUGCGUAGAGAUCUGGAGGAAUACCGGUGGCGAAGGCGGCCCCCUGGACGAAGACUGACGCUCAGGUGCGAAAGCGUGGGGAGCAAACAGGAUUAGUUACCCUGGUAGUCCACGCCGUAAACAAUGUCGACUUGGAGGUUGUGCCCUUGAGGCGUGGCUUCCGGAGCUAACGCGUUAAGUCGACCGCCUGGGGAGUACGGCCGCAAGGUUAAAACUCAAAUGAAUUGACGGGGGCCCGCACAAGCGGUGGAGCAUGUGGUUUAAUUCGAUGCAACGCGAAGAACCUUACCUGGUCUUGACAUCCACGGAAGUUUUCAGAGAUGAGAAUGUGCCUUCGGGAACCGUGAGACAGGUGCUGCAUGGCUGUCGUCAGCUCGUGUUGUGAAAUGUUGGGUUAAGUCCCGCAACGAGCGCAACCCUUAUCCUUUGUUGCCAGCGGUCCGGCCGGGAACUCAAAGGAGACUGCCAGUGAUAAACUGGAGGAAGGUGGGGAUGACGUCAAGUCAUCAUGGCCCUUACGACCAGGGCUACACACGUGCUACAAUGGCGCAUACAAAGAGAAGCGACCUCGCGAGAGCAAGCGGACCUCAUAAAGUGCGUCGUAGUCCGGAUUGGAGUCUGCAACUCGACUCCAUGAAGUCGGAAUCGCUAGUAAUCGUGGAUCAGAAUGCCACGGUGAAUACGUUCCCGGGCCUUGUACACACCGCCCGUCACACCAUGGGAGUGGGUUGCAAAAGAAGUAGGUGGCUUAACCUUCGGGAGGGCGCUUACCACUUUGUGAUUCAUGACUGGGG